CAAGAGAGAAAUUUGAGAGCAAGUAGAGAGAGUGAAGAGAGAGUAAUCCCACAAAGUUGUGAGGUAUUUGUGAGAGAGUAAGUGAGGUGUUUUCUCCUAGUAAUAGAGAGAUUUCAGUUGUUCUCCUAUUGUUAGAGAGAGGUUGUAAUUCCCACAUUACUUAGUAAAAUCCUUCUAUACUUGUCCGUGGACGUAGCCAAAUUGGGUGAACCACGUAAAUUCUUGUGUGUCUAAUUUCUCAUUUUAUCCUAUCCUUUGCCUUUUAUCUUGUCGGGUUUGCAUGCCAGUAUGCUAACAGUGGUAUCAGAGCCUUCUGGUUGGUGUUGUUAAUACACAAAAGUUAUUCGUGUAUACGGUUACUAUUCACGUCUACGGCACUAUUCAUCCAUACGGUACUGUUCACAUACGUUACUGUUGGCGUAUAUAGAAAGUCAGUGCGGUGAUUAAAUACAGUCUAGGAAGUUCUGUCUAAGGAGAUUGGGUUUUAAGCGGGACCGUUUGUGACCCCUCCAAUCUUUCCUGGGAACUUACUUAGUGAAGUAUUAUUCACACGAUACUAUUUCUACAUACGUUACAGAUCUGUGAAACGGUGAUAGCUGAAUAGAUCUCGGUGAAUACAAUGGCAGCAAAGUACAAGAUAGAGAGGUUCAAGGGGAGCAAUUUCUCACUGUGGAAAAUGAGAAUCAAGGCAAUCUUAAGGAAAGACAAUUGCUUGGCAGCAAUUGGGGAACGGCCCGCGGAGAUCACUGAUAAUGCAAAAUGGAAUGAAAUGGAUGGCAAUGCUAUUGCAAACAUACAUUUAGCAUUAGCCGAUGAAGUAUUAUCAAGUGUGGCGGAGAAGAAAACAGCUAAGGAGAUAUGGGAGACUCUAACAAAGCUAUAUGAGUCCAAGUCUUUGCACAAUAAGAUUUUCUUAAAGCGGAGACUUUAUACCCUUCGAAUGGCAGAAACCACGGCGGUGACUGACCACAUCAACACAAUAAGAACUCUAUUUUCACAACUCACUACGUUGGGUCAACAAAUAGAGGAAAGUGAACGUGCAGAGCUUCUACUUCAAAGUCUUCCAGAUUCGUAUGAUCAACUCAUUAUCAACUUGACCAAUAAUAUCCUCACAGACUAUUUAGUCUUUGAUGAUGUUGCAGCCGCCAUCUUGGAAGAAGAAAAUAGGCGCAAAAAUAAAGGAGACAGAAAUACUUCAAACCAAGCAGAGGCAUUGUUGGUGUCAAGAGGGAGAUCAACGGAGCGUGGCUCCAGUGGGAGUCAAAGGCAGGGGAGGUCCAAAUCAAGAAGUAAGAAGACUGUGAAAUGCUACAACUGUGGCAGAAAAGGGCACUUCAAAAGGGAUUGUUGGUUUAAAAAGGGUAUAGAGAACACUGCAGAGUCAUCAAAACCUCAAGGAUGUGUUGCGAGCACCUCAGAAGAUGGGGAGGUUUUAUAUAGUGAAGCAGCGACAAUCUCUACAGAUAGAGAAGAGCUUACUGAGGUCUGGCUAAUGGAUUCAGAAGCAACAUGGCAUAUGACUCCUAAUCGAGAUUGGUUCCAUACAUAUGAACCCAUCUUUAGAGGCAAAGUGUUCAUGGGUGAUAAUCAUGCUGUAGAGAUUGCUGGCAUUGGCACCAUCAAAUUGAAGAUGUAUGAUGGCUUAAUUCGCACUAUUUCAGGAGUGCGACAUGUGAAAGACUUAAAGAAGAAUCUUUUGUCCGUGGGACAAUUUGAUAGUCUUGGCUGUAAGAUCCGAACAGACAAUGGAAUAAUGAAAAUUGUCAAAGGAGCGCUGGUGGUUUUAAAGGCGAGAAAGACAGUUGCAAACAUGUUUGUAUUAAUGGGAGAAACACAUCAUGGGGCAGAAGCAUCAAUCGCAUCAGCCAGUCCUGCAGAAGAGAAGACGAUGAUGUGGCAUCAAAAACUAGGCCACAUGUCAGAGAAAGGUUUGAAAGUUCUCUCUGAUCAGAAGUUACUCCCUGGGCUUACAAAGGUUACUUUACCCUUUUGUGAGCAUUGUGUUACAAGCAAACAACACAGGUUGAAGUUUGGCACAUCAACAACUAAGAGCAAAUGCAUCUUAGACCUGAUUCACUCUGAUGUUUGGCAAGCACCGGUUGUAUCCUUGGGAGGAGCAAGAUACUUUGUAUCAUUCAUAGAUGACUUCUCCAGGAGAUGUUGGGUGUAUCCAAUUAGAAGGAAGGCAGAUGUGUUCGCAGUCUUUAAAACUUUCAAAGCGCGGGUGGAACUUGAAUCUGAAAAGAAGAUCAAGUGUUUGAGGACUGACAAUGGAGGAGAAUAUACCAGUGAUGAAUUUGAUAACUUCUGUCAACAUGAAGGUAUCAAAAGGCAGUUCACAACGGCAUACACUCCACAGCAAAAUGGAGUGGCAGAGCGGAUGAAUAGAACUCUAUUAGAAAGAACAAGAGCAAUGUUGAAGGCUGCAGGUCUAGGAAAGUCAUUCUGGGCAGAAGCAGUCAAUACCGCCUGUUAUGUGAUAAAUCGUUCUCCAUCAACUGCAAUUGAGUUGAAGACACCGAUGGAGAUGUGGACUGGAAAGCCAGCUGAUUAUUCCCAAUUUCAUAUAUUUGGAAGUCUUGUAUACGUGAUGUACAAUACACAAGAAGUUAGCAAGCUGGAUUCAAAAUCCAGAAAAUGUGUAUUCUUGGGAUAUGCUGAUGGAGUGAAGGGGUAUCGCUUGUGGGAUCCCACUGCCCACAAGGUAGUCAUCAGCAGAGAUGUUAUAUUUGCAGAAGGUAAAAUGCAAAUGGAAGAACAUAAUAGCAUUCCAAAGGAGACUACAGCAGUCCAGAUGGAAAAUACUCAGAAUGAUACUUCUUCUGAAGCUGCACCAGAGCAUGAAGAACAAGAACAAAUAGAUUCUGAAACUCCUGAAGUUCGACGGUCAACUCGUGAAAGAAGACCACAGGCUUGGCACUCAGAAUAUGUUACUGAGAGCAACAUUGCAUACUGUCUUCUAACAGAGGAUGGAGAGCCAUCAGCUUUCCAUGAGGCUAUCAAAAGCACAAAUGUAUCUAUGUGGAUGACAGCAAUGCAAGAGGAGAUUGAAGCUCUACACAAGAACAACACUUGGGAUCUUGUUCCGCUACCACAAGGAAGGAAGGCCAUUGGCAACAAAUGGAUUUACAAGAUAAAGCGUGAUGGCAAUGAUCAAGUGGAGCGGUACCGUGCAAGAUUGGUGAUGAAAGGAUAUGCUCAGAAAGAAGGAAUAGACUUUAAUGAGAUAUUUUCUCCAGUGGUACGACUUACUACAAUCAGAGUAGUCUUGGCAAUGUGUGCUAUAUUUGAUGUUCACUUAGAGCAGUUAGAUGUGAAAACUGCAUUUCUUCAUGGAGAACUUGAAGAAGAAAUUUAUAUGCUCCAACCAGAGGGUUUUGCUGAAACAGGCAAGGAGAACUUGGUUUGCAGGUUGAACAAAUCUCUAUACGGUCUCAAACAGGCGCCGAGGUGUUGGUACAAGAGAUUUGAUUCCUUCAUAAUUAGCCUUGGGUACAAUAGACUCAGUUCAGACCAUUGUACGUAUUACAAGAGGUUUGAAGAAGAUGAUGUUUUCAUCAUUUUGUUGUUGUACGUGGAUGACAUGUUGGUAAUAGGCCCCAACAAAGAUCGAGUCCAAGAAUUGAAGGCACAAUUGGCUAGGGAGUUCGAUAUGAAGGACUUGGGACCAACAAACAAGAUUCUAGGGAUGCAAAUUCACCGAGACAGAAGUAAGAGGAAGAUUUGGCUUUCUCAGAAAAAUUAUUUGAAGAAGAUCUUGCGACGCUUCAACAUGCAAGAUUGUAAGCCAAUUUCCACCCCACUUCCUGUUAACUUCAAAUUAUCCUCAAGUAUGUCUCCUAGCAAUGAAGCAGAGAGGAUGGAGAUGUCUCGAGUACCGUAUGCAUCAGCAGUGGGAAGUUUAAUGUUUGCCAUGAUAUGUACAAGACCAGACAUUGCACAAGCAGUGGGAGCAGCUAGUCGAUACAUGGCAAAUCCUGGUAGAGAGCAUUGGAAUACUAUUAAGAGGAUCUUGAGAUACAUCAAGGGUACCUCAGAUGCCGCAUUAUGUUAUGGAGGAUUAGAAUCUACUAUCAGAGGUUAUGUUGAUUCAGAUUUUGCUGGCGACCUUGAGAAAAGAAAAUCCACUACAGGCUAUGUGUUCAUAAUUGCAGGAGGAGCUGUGAGCUGGGUCUCUAAACUUCAGACUGUUGUAGCUUUAUCCACAACAGAAGCUGAGUACAUGGCAGCUACACAAGCUUGUAAAGAAGCAAUAUGGAUGAAGAAACUUAUGGAGGAGCUCGGGCACAAACAAGAGAAGAUUCUUUUGUAUUGUGAUAGUCAGAGUGCCUUGCAUAUUGCAAGGAAUCCAGCGUUUCAUUCAAGAACAAAACACAUAGAUGUUCAGUAUCACUUUGUUCGCGAAGUGGUGGAAGAUGGAAGUGUGGAUUUUCAGAAGGUUCACACAAAGGAAAACCCAGCAGAUGCUUUGACUAAACCAGUCAGCACUCAUAAGUAUAUAUGGUGCAGAUCCUCUUAUGGCCUAGUAGAAACGUAAGCAGCAUGAAGAUGGCAAGUAUAGAAAGGAUAGAAGAAUCACAGAUGAUCAUGUGUGAAGACUUGAUUAAAUCAUCAAAGUCUUCAAGUGGGAGAAUGUGAAGCCAGCCACCUAAGUCAACAAAGGUGGGAGUCAACAAUGGUGGUGAAGCCAUCCUUCCUUAGUCACAAAUUGUAGGCACCAAACUUGUGCCACUUGCCUUGCCCCUUGUGCCACUUGCCUUGCCCCUUGUAUUUACAUGGAUGCUUGCCUAUAAAUAGGCAAUGCAUCCAAGCAUUGUAAACACACCACAAGAGAGAAAUUUGAGAGCAAGUAGAGAGAGUGAAGAGAGAGUAAUCCCACAAAGUUGUGAGGUAUUUGUGAGAGAGUAAAUGAGGUGUUUUCUCCUAGUAAUAGAGAGAUUUCAGUUGUUCUCCUAUUGUUAGAGAGAGGUUGUAAUUCCCACAUUACUUAGUAAAAUCCUUCUAUACUUGUCCGUGGACGUAGCCAAAUUGGGUGAACCACGUAAAUUCUUGUGUGUCUAAUUUCUC
rnacentral:lncRNA from 1 species